rnacentral:antisense_RNA from 1 species
CAGAAGAAAAAACCCACUGAAGGAGGAGCAGCAAACCAUCCUGUCCUAUAUGGCCUAUCUUAAGAUUGACUGCCACCAGAGAGGGAUAGAAAUAAAACAGUUUGCCAAAAAGAGAGGAGCAGGAACUUCAUUUCUUCCCAAGAACCCCACUGAAACAAGGCAAAGCCCAAACUUGAGGUUCAGGCAUUCAGAGCAUGUCCAAAAUUGAGGCUGGACCAGGGACAACCUAGCUUCUGCCCCAAUGAGGAGUUUUGCAUGAGUGAAAAAACAGCACUCCACCAAUAUAGGUAGAAAUUCAGAAAUUCAGUGUGUAAAAUGGUAAAGCGGAUUGAAGUUGAAGAUAUUAGAUCAUUUAAGAGGUCAAUAAAUGAAGUAAUAAACAUGCGAAUGAGAAGACUGAUGAUGAAGAGGACCUUUAAAAGUGUAUUUCUGUUACGGUUUUUUUUUUUUUUUUUAAAGUGAUUUGAAGCCAUUUAUAAUGAUUGCUAAGUGGCAUGCUAAAGUUUUAAAAAACAAAUAAAGCAUUAAAAAAU